CCUACGGGGGGCAGCAGUGGGGGAUAUUGCACAAUGGGGGGAACCCUGAUCCAGCGACGCCGCGUGAGUGAAGAAGUAUUUCGGUGUGUAAAGCUCUGUCAGCAGGGAAGAAAAUGACGGUACCUGACUAAGAAGCCCCGGCUAACUACGUGCCAGCAGCCGCGGUAAUACGUAGGGGGCAAGCGUUAUCCGGAUUUACUGGGUGUAAAGGGGGCGUAGACGGGGCAGCAAGUCUGAUGUGAAAGGUCGGGGCCCAACCCCGGGACUGCGUUGGAAACUGUGGAACUGGAGUACAGGAGAGGCAAGCGGAAUUCCUAGUGUAGCGGUGAAAUGCGUAGAUAUCAGGAGGAACACCAGUGGCGAAGGCGGCCUACUGGACUGCAACUGACGUUGAGGCCCGAAAGCGUGGGGAGCAAACAGGAUUAGAUACCCCUGUAGUC
rnacentral:rRNA from 1 species